rnacentral:rRNA from 1 species
AGUGAACGCUGGCGGUAGGCCUAACACAUGCAAGUCGAACGGCAGCACAGUAAGAGCUUGCUCUUACGGGUGGCGAGUGGCGGACGGGUGAGGCAUACAUCGGAAUCUACUUUUUCGUGGGGGAUAACGUAGGGAAACUUACGCUAAUACCGCAUACGACCUACGGGUGAAAGCAGGCGACCUUCGGACCUUGCGCGAUUGAAUGAGCCGAUGUCGGAUUAGCUAGUUGGCGGGGUAAAGGCCCACCAAGGCGACGAUCCGUAGCUGGUCUGAGAGGGUGAUCAGCCACACGAGAAGUGAGACACGGUCCAGACACCGACGGGAGGCAGCAGUGGGGAAUAUUGGACGAUGGGGGCAAGCCUGAUCCAGCCAUACCGCGGGGGUGAAGAAGGCCUUCGGGUUGGAAAGCCCUUUUGUUGGGAAAGAAAAGCAGCAGGUUAAUACCCCGCUGUUCUGACGGUACCCAAAGAAUAAGCACCGGCUAACUUCGUG